GAUGAACGCUAGCUACAGGCUUAACACAUGCAAGUCGAGGGGAAACGAUAUUGGAAGCUUGCUUCCGAUAGGCGUCGACCGGCGCACGGGUGAGUAACGCGUAUCCAACCUGCCCAUCACUUGGGGAUAACCUUGCGAAAGUAAGACUAAUACCCAAUGACGUCUCUAGAAGACAUCUGAAGGAGAUUAAAGAUUUAUCGGUGAUGGAUGGGGAUGCGUCUGAUUAGCUUGUUGGCGGGGUAACGGCCCACCAAGGCGACGAUCAGUAGGGGUUCUGAGAGGAAGGUCCCCCACAUUGGAACUGAGACACGGUCCAAACUCCUACGGGAGGCAGCAGUGAGGAAUAUUGGUCAAUGGGCGAGAGCCUGAACCAGCCAAGUAGCGUGCAGGAUGACGGCCCUAUGGGUUGUAAACUUCUUUAUACGGGAAUAAAGUGAGGCACGUGUGCCUUUUUGUAUGUACCGUAUGAAUAAGGAUCGGCUAACUCCGUGCCAGC
rnacentral:rRNA from 1 species